GCCAGUAGUGAGUCCGGGUGCAAUUUAACCUAAUCUUGUUAGAACACAAUCAAGCCGAUUUAGGUCAAAUCGAGCUGACCCAUUUCGAUCAAUCAGAACAACUUCUAAUUGAUGAUCGUAUUAAACUCUUUAAUCCAAUCGAACUCACAAGACAUGAUUGAUGUCUAGCAAUGUAUCGGGUAUACCUGAAAGAUAUAAAAUUUUGAUGAAAAUACCAAAAAUAUCCUUCUAUGGGAAGUUACCGUGCAACUUGAUCUUACGAUCAUCC
rnacentral:lncRNA from 1 species